UACGAAGGUCCCAAGCGUUAUCCGGAUUUAUUGGGUUUAAAGGGUGCGUAGGCGGGCUAUUAAGUCAGUGGUGAAAGCCCCAGGCUUAACUUGGGAACUGCCAUUGAUACUGAUGGUCUUGAGUACAUUUGAGGUGGGCGGAAUGUGUCAUGUAGCGGUGAAAUGCUUAGAUAUGACCACAGAACACCGAUUGCGAAGGCAGCUCACUAAACUGUAAACUGACGCU
rnacentral:rRNA from 1 species